rnacentral:rRNA from 1 species
CACAAGCGGAGGAACAUGUGGUUUAAUUCGAUGAUACGCGAGGAACCUUACCUGGGCUUAAAUGUAGAGUGCAUUUUUUAGAGAUAGAAAUUCCCUUCGGGGCUUUCUGCAAGGUGCUGCAUGGUUGUCGUCAGCUCGUGCCGUGAGGUGUCGGGUUAAGUCCCAUAACGAGCGCAACCCUUAUCGUUAGUUGCCAUCUGGUAAUGCAGGGGACUCUAGCGAAACUGCCACCGUAAGGUGAGAGGAAGUGGGGAUGACGUCAAAUCAGCACGGCCCUUAUGUCCAGGGCUACACACGUGUUACAAUGGUCGGUACAGAGGGCAGCUACCUGGUGACAGGAUGCUAAUCUCGAAAACCGGUCUCAGUUCGGAUCGAAGUCUGCAACUCGACUUCGUGAAGCUGGAUUCGCUAGUAAUCGCGCAUCAGCUAUGGCGCGGUGAAUACGUUCCCGGGCCUU